GAAUAAUAUUGGUGCAAUAAAAGAAGUGGAAAAGGGUCAGGAUUGGAAAAUAGCAGCCCACCAUUACGCUUUUAUGUGCACCUUUAUUAUGGAGG
rnacentral:SRP_RNA from 1 species